rnacentral:rRNA from 1 species
UAGCGGAAGUUUUCGGAUGGAAGCGGAUAUGACUUAGCGGCGGACGGGUGAGUAACGCGUGGAUAACCUGCCUCAUACAGGGGGAUAACAGUUAGAAAUGACUGCUAAUACCGCAUAAGCGCACAGGACCGCAUGGUCCGGUGUGAAAAACUCCGGUGGUAUGGGAUGGAUCCGCGUCUGAUUAGCUGGUUGGUGAGGUAACGGCCCACCAAGGCGACGAUCAGUAGCCGACCUGAGAGGGUGGCCGGCCACAUUGGGACUGAGACACGGCCCAAACUCCUACGGGAGGCAGCAGUGGGGAAUAUUGCACAAUGGGGGAAACCCUGAUGCAGCAACGCCGCGUGAGUGAAGAAGUAUUUCGGUAUGUAAAGCUCUAUCAGCAGGGAAGAAGAAAGACGGUACCUGACUAAGAAGCCCCGGCUAACUACGUGCCAGCAGCCGCGGUAAUACGUAGGGGGCAAGCGUUAUCCGGAUUUACUGGGUGUAAAGGGAGCGUAGACGGCUGUGCAAGUCUGAAGUGAAAGCCCGUGGGUCAACCGCGGAACUGCUUUGGAAACUGUAUAGCUUGAGUACUGGAGAGGCAGGCGGAAUUCCUAGUGUAGCGGUGAAAUGCGUAGAUAUUAGGAGGAACACCAGUGGCGAAGGCGGCCUGCUGGACAGAAACUGACGUUGAGGCUCGAAAGCGUGGGGAGCAAACAGGAUUAGAUACCCUGGUAGUCCACGCGGUAAACGAUGAAUGCUAGGUGUUGG